UGGAUGGAUGGUAUUUUAUGUGCCCAACAAG
rnacentral:piRNA from 1 species